GCUCCUCGUAACCUCCUCCAGUCGUGUCGGUGGCACAGCAGGAUAGAUCACCUGAGCAUGUUCGUCACAACCUCAAGAUGCCGCUGAGGAAGAAGGGGCCGCGAGUCCCACGGAGGCAUGCGGAAGAUACAGAACCUACUCCUACAGACUAUGAGAAGCAGAGAGCAAUUACAAUCAUGAAGAACAAUCAAAUGAGGCAACGGCUAGGGCUUUCUCAAUUACGAUCAAUGAUGGCUAGUAUUCUGAGUGGAAGGAUAAACGAUGCUCCUCCUUAGGAAUCUGGAUCGCUGUAUGAUGGUGAUGAUAUUGAGGGCUCUGACGAUGAGAUGGUUAGUAAGAAGCAAGAUAAAUUUAAAGAUAUAGAACCUAGUGCAAUUGAUCUUUUCAAGUAGAUGCAAUGCAGCAAGAAGGACUUAGCGAAACUGUCCAAAAAGGUUUAUAUGGAAUCAAUGGCGGCAGCCUCAGUUGAAGAUGGACACCGUAUUCAUCAAUAGAAGUGGUUUCCCAAGCGCUGCCUAAAUCAACUUGAUUCCAUCAUAAUGUAGGCCUAGCCGUCGCCAACAGAAGCUCUUUAAGGAUUGUUUCAGCAAAGAUGCAACAACUUGAGUCUUAAUUAUAGACUGAGAGGCAAGAAAAAGAUGGACUACAGGAUGAAGUCCAAAGCUUGAAGUUUAAGACACAGACAUCUGAUGAGACCAUUCCUAAGCAAUCUGAUGAGAUUGCAGAAUUGAAGAAGUUCAUAGCAAAAAAUAAUAGCCUCCUUUGUUUGAUUUUAAGCAUCAAUCGUAGCCAAGUGCCUCCUUAAAUAUGUAUAUCAACAUGAUGGUGUCAAGGUUCAUCACAUACCAGAUCGAGGAUUAAAGUUAUAUGAGCUUAAGUUACAUGAUUAUUAGGAUUU